UACGUAGGGACCAAGCGUUGCUCGGAAUCACUGGGCGUAAAGCGCACGUAGGCGGAUUGCUAAGUCAGGGGUGAAAUCCUGGAGCUCAACUCCAGAACUGCCUUUGAUACUGGCGAUCUCGAGUCCGGGAGAGGUGAGUGGAACUGCGAGUGUAGAGGUGAAAUUCGUAGAUAUUGGGUGGAACACCGGUGGCGAAAGCGGCUCUCUGGCCCGGAUCUGACGCUGAGGCGCGAAAGCGUGGGGAGCAAACAGG
rnacentral:rRNA from 1 species